rnacentral:rRNA from 1 species
UGACAGGUGGUGCAUGGUUUGUCGUCAGCUCGUGUCGUGAGAUGUUGGGUUUAAGUCCCGCAACGAGCGCAACCCCCUAUUGUUAGUUGUCAUCAUUCAGUUUGGGCACUCUAGCGAGACUGCCGGUAAUAAACCGGAGGAAGGUGGGGAUGACGUCAAAUCAUCAUGCCCCUUAUGACCUGGGCUACACACGUGCUACAAUGGUUGGUACAACGAGUUGCGAGUCGGUGACGGCGAGCUAAUCUCUUAAAGCCAAUCUCAGUUCGGAUUGUAGGCUGCAACUCGCCUACAUGAAGUCGGAAUCGCUAGUAAUCGCGGAUCAGCACGCCGCGGUGAAUACGUUCCCGGGCCUU